rnacentral:rRNA from 1 species
AGAGUUUGAUCCUGGCUCAGGACGAACGCUGGCGGUGCGCCUUAUGCAUGCAAGUCGAGCGAAGCUUUUCAGUAGUUUACUACAGAAAAUGACUGAGCGGCGAACGGGUGAGUAACGCGUGAGCAAUCUACCUUAGUUACAGGGAUAGCCCGAGGAAACUCGGAUUAAUACCUGAUAUUCUUUAUAUUUCGCAUGAAAUUAAAAGGAAAGGUCAGCCGAACUAAGAUGAGCUCGCGUUCUAUCAGCUAGUUGGUGAGGUAAAAGCUCACCAAGGCAACGACGGAUAGCUGGUCUGAGAGGACGAUCAGCCACACUGGGACUGAGACACGGCCCAGACUCCUACGGGAGGCUGCAGCAGGGAAUAUUGCGCAAUGAGCGAAAGCUUGACGCAGCGACACCGCGUGUGGGAUGACGGAUCUAGGUUUGUAAACCACUUUCAGGAGGGAAGAAAAUGACGGUACCUCCACAAGAAGCCCCGGCCAACUACGUGCCAGCAGCCGCGGUAAUACGUAGGGGGCGAGCGUUGUCCGGAUUUAUUGGGCGUAAAGAGCUCGUAGGCGGUUCAACAAGUCGGUCGUAAAAGUUCAGGGCUCAACCCUGAAAUGUCGAUCGAUACUGUUGUGACUAGGAUACGGUAGAGGUGAGUGGAAUUCCGAGUGUAGCGGUGAAAUGCGUAGAUAUUCGGAGGAACACCAAUUGCGAAGGCAGCUCACUGGGCCGCUAUCGACGCUGAGGAGCGAAAGCUAGGGGAGCAAACAGGAUUAGAUACCCUGGUAGUCCUAGCUGUAAACGAUGGAUACUAGACGUAGGAACUGGAUUGACGGUUUCUGUGUCGUAGCUAACGCGUUAAGUAUCCCGCCUGGGGAGUACGGUCGCAAGACUAAAACUCAAAGGAAUUGACGGGACCCCGCACAAGCGGCGGAGCAUGCGGCUUAAUUCGAUGAUACCCGUAGAACCUUACCUGGACUUGACAUAUAGGGUCUAGCUAUAGAGAUAUAGUGUGCAUUAGCGCCCUAUACAGGUGGUGCAUGGCUGUCGUCAGCUCGUGUCGUGAGAUGUU